rnacentral:tRNA from 1 species
GAGGGUACAGCUCAAGUGGUAGAGCGCACGCCUAGCAUGCCCAAGAUCCUGGGUUCAAUCCCCAGUACCUCCU